UUUUAUUUGAGAGUUUGAUCCUGGCUCAGGAUGAACGCUGGCGGCGUGCCUAACACAUGCAAGUUGAGCGAUUUACUUCGGUAAAGAGCGGCGGACGGGUGAGUAACGCGUGGGUAACCUACCCUGUACACACGGAUAACAUACCGAAAGGUAUGCUAAUACGGGAUAAUAUAUUUGAGAGGCAUCUCUUGAAUAUCAAAGGUGAGCCAGUACAGGAUGGACCCGCGUCUGAUUA
rnacentral:rRNA from 1 species